rnacentral:lncRNA from 1 species
UGUGCACUCCUACACCGCACAUGGCUGGGUCAGCACAGCUCAUGUGCACUCCUACACCGCACAUGGCUGGGUCAUAAUUAUCACACAAAAAUAUCAUUUAAUGUAUAAUAUACACAUCAACAUAAUGUAGAAACUCAUGAGUUCAUCAUGUUCAUAUCUCAUAAUAUCAAAACAUUUCAUCAAGGGCUUGUUCCCAUGCAACUUUUAAAGAAAAACUAACAAAAUAUUUCAAGUGGCUCAGUCAAGCAUAAAAUCAUUUAUUCCAAAACAUUUUAAUGCAAGUUCACUCACCUGGCAAGAACGAGAUAUUAAGUUGCUAUUUGUUUGGAGGUGUCUCUAACUAUUUUCACUGGCCGGUCGCUCGUUAUUUACUCCGGCACGACCCCACAAUACUCUAACUUUAUCUUUGCAUUUCCUAGCAAUAAUACGAACUCAAUAUAUUUAAUUACAUAUGUAUUCGAACAACACUUCAAUCAAUUAAUCCUUACUCAAAUUUAUAUUUUUCCUCCUAUCAUGAAACCAUCUUCAAUUAACUCACAUCUUAAUACAUUUUUACUAAAAUUACUUAUAUCCAUUGCUUACGUAAUUCCUUAAAUUAUAUCACCAGUAACUUAAUUAUAAUGUCAUGUGUCUACUUCAGCAUUUAUAAAUAAUUUCCACCCAAAUCUAUCUUAUAUUUUCACAUAUAAUCCACAUAUAUGGCAGCAACAAUCAUUCUCACUUUCACUUGAUUAUUUCCUAGUUUACAUGCAUCAUUAUCUAUCUAACUUUCAAUACUUUGUUUCUCAAUCCUCCAUCCACAAUAUUCUUUUUUCAUUUCUUUCAAAUGACAUGCCAUACAAUCUUAACAAUUUUCAACUAGCUUAUGCAAGUAGAUACUUUCAAUAACCAUAAUUUCCCACAAUAUUCAACUAACCGUAGGCUUUAAAACAUAGUGUUAAGCUUACCGUUUUCCUUUUCCACUUUGAGUCCUUCAUGUACCCAUGGGUUUAUUGGCUUACAUGUUAUCAAUUUUUCUCCAAUCAAGCCAAUCUUUGCUGCCACAAGAGAUUUCUCUAAGUCAUUAACUCAUUUUCAAAGACUACUUAAGCCAAAAACAAGAAUUCUUACCGUUCGUUGCUUGAAUCACCAAAACCAAGCUUUUUCUUCCUUUCUCUCUUUUUCUUUCUUCUUCUCCUAGAGUUUAAAUGUGCUGGAAAUUGGGGUUAGAAGUUGUAACUUUGGUGCACAAGAAGUUGGGAGAAGAAUGAAGCAAGAAGAAAAAAGAAAUGAAAAGAAAACAAGGAAAGAGUAUGAAAGAAAAUUAGUUUUCCAUGGGAGAAUGAG